GCGGAGGGAUCAUUACUGAGCGAGGGCCUCCGGUCCGACCUCCAACCCUUUGUGAACGUCCCGUUGCUUCGGGGGCGACCCUACCGUUUCGACGGCGGGCGCCCCCGGAGGCCUCCAAACACUGCAUCUCUGCGUCGGAGUUUAAGUCAAUUAAACAAAACUUUCAACAACGGAUCUCUUGGUUCUGGCAUCGAUGAAGAACGCAGCGAAAUGCGAUAAGUAAUGUGAAUUGCAGAAUUCAGUGAAUCAUCGAAUCUUUGAACGCACAUUGCGCCCUUUGGUAUUCCGAAGGGCAUGCCUGUUCGAGCGUCAUUUCACCACUCAAGCCUCGCUUGGUAUUGGGCGCCGCGGUCGAUCCGCGCGCCUCAAAGUCUCCGGCUGAGCAGUCCGUCUCCAAGCGUUGUGAUUUCAUUAAUCGCUCUGGAGUGCGGGUGGCCGCGGCCGUUAAAUCUUUUCACAGGUUGACCUCGGAUCAGGUAGGGAUACCCGCUG
rnacentral:rRNA from 3 species